CCCUUAGACGUUCUGGGCCGCACGCGCGCUACACUGACCAGUGCAACAAGCAUCCGUCCUUGGCCGACAGGCUCGGGCAAUCUUUGAACACUGGUCGUGAUGGGGAUAGACUUUUGCAAUUUUUGGUCUUCAACGAGGAAUUCCUAGUAAACGCAAGUCAUCAACUUGCAUUGAUUACGUCCCUGCCCUUUGUACACACCGCCCGUCGCACCUACCGAUUGAAUGGUCCGGUGAAGCCUCCGGAUUGGCGCGCACCUCGGUGCCGCCGAGAAGUUGGCUAAACCUUACCAUUUAGAGGAAGGUGAAGUCGUAACA
rnacentral:rRNA from 1 species